rfam:Thermosipho melanesiensis BI429, complete genome.
GGGUGCGUAGCUCAGUGGGAGAGCGCUUCCUUCACACGGAAGAGGCCGCAGGUUCAAUCCCUGCCGCACCCA